UUGCCCUUUCCACGAAUAGUCGAAGCCUGCGGCGGAAGAAUCACCGUCGCUGUUUUGGUUGUGCCAUGCCUCACUGCUUGUUGUCGACAACUUGACUUGAAGCUCUGCAGUGGAGCAAAAACGCACGGGCCGAAGGUGCCCCCUGUGACCAGCAAAUAGCACUUAUCAUUGGCGAAGCGCGCGAUAAGUGGCGGCAAGCGUGUUGGGCUAGCUCCCGUAGCCAGAACAAGAGUAGUACCUUUGAAUUAACUAGAUCAGGUGUAUAGGUUCAGUACCCCGCCGUCGGCAUCCCAGAGGGCAGGCUUGACGGUGUGGUAACGGCAAGUAAACUGACCCCAAAAGUUGCCGUACGGAGGAAAAAAAUUUGCUUCUUGUAAACGAGCAAGCACGGCUUGCGAAAAACAGAUGUCACACUGAUGGUUGCUGCAUAUUGAUAAGUUUUUGGGUGCAAGUAGUAGGCAGCGACUAGUGGUUUGCCUGUCACGGGCAAUUUGACGUUUACGAAGAAGCGAUUUUGACGCACUGAGACAGCGAGUAGGUUUAGGGUAGAAGUGUUGUUUUAGGUAUAAGUUUGUUUUGUGUCAAGUUAGUUGAUGGUGAACGAUUUGUGGAGAUGGAGGAAAUAGUCUACCAAUUACGGUCCGAUAGGCCGUUUGUCCGGGCAGCUGGCGAUAAAUGGUUAGCAAAAUUGUGCUUAGCAGUGUUUGUUGUCGUCCUUGUCUCAGUAAAUGGAACCAGUGCUAGCAAUUACGAGGGUUGGCAUGCGUGGGAAGUUGUUGGCACGGAUAAUGGGUGGCAAAAUGGUACCAAAGAAAGUGACUCGCACCUACACAACCUAUGAAGACGAUCACGACCCCUGGAUUUCAUUGUAUGUCAACAAACGCCUUAGGAGACCGACGAUCAUUUUAAACGGAUGGGCGAAAGACGGAAAAUUUGGCCUUAAUGUUAACAUUCAUUAAAGGUAUUUUUAUCUACUGGCGUUGUAAAUACUACUAUAAAUAUAAAAAAAAUGAUAAUAAGGUAAAUGUAGAUAGCGCCGAUAUGCGAGAAGCGUUCGAUAUUUAUUGAUACCUUUUGCCCAGUUUUAGUCAUCGGGAGGUCAAGCGUUUUACACAAUGCUCAAUCGAGUUGACGAUAAGAAGAACAAACAUUUCAAUCCGAAGCACGGUACAAGUCAUGCUCGAACUACUAAGAAGAUCCCUAUUUGCCUGUUUGUUUGAUCCCUAUUUGUUGAUCUUGAUCGUGAACCCGAAGAUUGAGCGAUAAAGCGCCCGCAGAAACUUUCGAAGAUGCUGCAUGUUUUGAAACACUCAGGUAAUUACUGAGUCUCGCUUUAGAAGCGAAGAUAAGUUAAUUUUUUUCCUCUGCUAUACCACUCUACCACCUGUUCUUCCAUGCUACAUUUAGAAAUAUGGUUAAACCGUAUGAUACUGCGAUUUCGAUAUGCCUGUUCGCAAUAAACAAUGAAGAGUGAACUUGAAUAAAAGCCUGUCAG